rnacentral:rRNA from 1 species
AUUGAACGCUGGCGGCAGGCCUAACACAUGCAAGUCGAACGGUAACAGGAAGCAGCUUGCUGCUUCGCUGACGAGUGGCGGACGGGUGAGUAAUGUCUGGGAAGCUGCCUGAUGGAGGGGGAUAACUACUGGAAACGGUAGCUAAUACCGCAUAAUGUCGCAAGACCAAAGAGGGGGACCUUCGGGCCUCUUGCCAUCGGAUGUGCCCAGAUGGGAUUAGCUUGUUGGUGGGGUAACGGCUCACCAAGGCGACGAUCCCUAGCUGGUCUGAGAGGAUGACCAGCCACACUGGGACUGAGACACGAUCCAGACUCCUACGGGAGGCAGCAGUGGGGAAUAUUGCACAAUGGGCGCAAGCCUGAUGCAGCCAUGCCGCGUGUAUGAAGAAGGCCUUCGGGUUGUAAAGUACUUUCAGCGGGGAGGAAGGGAGUAAAGUUAAUACCUUUGCUCAUUGACGUUACCCGCAGAAGAAGCACCGGCUAACUCCGUG